GGGCAUGUGGUGUAACUGGAUAACACAUUCGCUCAUUGUGGAAAGGGAAACUUCCUGGAACCCCAUUAUCAUUACACCUGCGAAAGACGUCCGGUUCGAGCCCGACCAUGCCCC